rnacentral:rRNA from 1 species
UACGGAGGAUGCGAGCGUUAUCCGGAUUUAUUGGGUUUAAAGGGUGCGUAGGCGGAUUUUUAAGUCAGCGGUAAAAUGUCCGGGCUCAACCCGGGCCGGCCGUUGAAACUGGGGAUCUUGAGUGGGCGAGAAGUAUGCGGAAUGCGUGGUGUAGCGGUGAAAUGCAUAGAUAUCACGCAGAACUCCGAUUGCGAAGGCAGCGUACCGGCAUCCAACUGACGCUGAGGCACGAAAGCGCGGGGAUCAAACAGG